rnacentral:tRNA from 1 species
GAGAAUAGCUCAACUGGUAGAGCACCGGUCUCCAAAACCGUAGGCUGGGGGUUCGAGUCCCUCUUCUCC